rnacentral:rRNA from 1 species
UACAGAGGGUGCAAGCGUUCAUCGGAAUUACUGGGCGUAAAGCGUGCGCAGACGGUUGCGUAAGUCAGAUGUGAAAGCCCCGGGCUCAACCUGGGAAUUGCAUUUGAGACUGCGUAGCUAGGGUGCGGAAGAGGGAAGCGGAAUUUCCGGUGUAGCGGUGAAAUGCGUAGAUAUCGGAAGGAACACCAGUGGCGAAAGCGGCUUCCUGGUCCAGCACCGACGUUCAGGCACGAAAGCGUGGGGAGCAAACAGG